AUACGUAGGGUGCGAGCGUUGUCCGGAAUGAUUGGGCGUAAAGGGCGCGUAGGCGGCCCGGUAAGUCUGGAGUGAAAGUCCUGUUUUUAAGAUGGGAAUUGCUUUGGAUACUGUCGGGCUUGAGUGCAGGAGAGGUAAGUGGAUUUCCCAGUGUAGCGGUGAAAUGCGUAGAGAUUGGGAGGAACACCAGUGGCGAAGGCGACUUACUGGACUGUAACGGACGCUGAGGCGCGAAAGUGUGGGGAGCAAACAGGAUUAGAUACCCUGGUAGUCCACACUGUAAACGAUGAAUGCUAGGUGUAGGGGGUAUCGACCCCUUCUGUGCCGCAGUCAACACAAUAAGCAUUCCGCCUGGGGAGUACGGCCGCAAGGUUGAAACUUAAAGGAAUUGACGGGG
rnacentral:rRNA from 1 species